rnacentral:misc_RNA from 1 species
GAUGAAGAACGCAGCGAAAUGCGAUACUUGGUGUGAAUUGCAGAAUCCCGUGAACCAUCGAGUCUUUGAACGCAAGUUGCGCCCGAAGCCACUAGGCCGAGGGCACGCCUGCCUGGGCGUCACACGCCGUUGCCCCCCCAUCUACUCCUUCGGGAUUGCGGGGGGGCGGAUGAUGGCCUCCCGUGUGCCUAGCCGCGCGGUUGGCAUAAAUACCAAGUCCUCGGCGACGCACGCCACGACAAUCGGUGGUUGCGAAACCUCGGUUGCCCGUCGUGUGCGUUCGUCGCGCAUCGAGGGCUCGAAAAAAUGCUCGGCUCCGGCUGGGCUUUCAACGCGACCCCAGGUCAGGCGGGGUUACCCGCUGAAUUUAAGCAUAUCAAUAACGGAGGA